UACGUAGGGUGCGAGCGUUAAUCGGAAUUACUGGGCGUAAAGCGUGCGCAGGCGGUCUGUUAAGACCGAUGUGAAAUCCCCGGGCUUAACCUGGGAACUGCAUUUGGGACUGGAAGGCUAGAGUAUGGCAGAGGGGGGUGGAAUUCCACGUGUAGCAGUGAAAUGCGUAGAGAUGUGGAGGAACACCGAUGGCGAAGGCAGCCCCCUGGGCCUAUACUGACGCUCAUGCACGAAAGCGUGGGGAGCAAACAGG
rnacentral:rRNA from 1 species